rnacentral:misc_RNA from 1 species
UCGUAACAAGGUUUCCGUAGGUGAACCUGCGGAAGGAUCAUUACCGAGUGCGGGUUCUAACGAGCCCAACCUCCCACCCGUGUUUACUGUUACCGCGUUGCCUCGGCGGGCCCACUGGGGCCUGGCCCCGGUCGCCGGGGGGCUUCUGCCCCCGGGCCCGCGCCCGCCGAAGCACCCUAGAACCCUGCCUGAAUAGUGAGUCUGAGUGAGAGAUUAAAUCAUUAAAACUUUCAACAACGGAUCUCUUGGUUCCGGCAUCGAUGAAGAACGCAGCGAAAUGCGAUAAGUAAUGUGAAUUGCAGAAUUCCGUGAAUCAUCGAAUCUUUGAACGCACAUUGCGCCCCCUGGCAUUCCGGGGGGCAUGCCUGUCCGAGCGUCAUUUCUGCCCUCCAGCACGGCUGGGUGUUGGGCGCUGUCCCCCCGGGGACACGCCCCAAAAGCAGUGGCGGCGCCGCGUCGGGUCCUCGAGCGUAUGGGGCUUUGUCACCCGCUCGGGAGGGACUCGGUCGGCGCUGGUCUUCCUUUUAGGCAGCCCUUCGGGGUGCGCCUCUUCCGGUUGACCUCGGAUCAGGUAGGGCUACCCGCUGAACUUAAGCAUAUCAAUAA